AUUGAGCGCUGGCGGCAUGCUUUACACAUGCAAGUCGAACGGUAACAGGCCGCAAGGUGCUGACGAGUGGCGAACGGGUGAGUAAUGCAUCGGAACGUGCCCAGUCGUGGGGGAUAACGCAGCGAAAGCUGUGCUAAUACCGCAUACGAUCUAUGGAUGAAAGCGGGGGACCGUAAGGCCUCGCGCGAUUGGAGCGGCCGAUGUGAGAUGAGGUAGUUGGUGGGGUAAAGGCUCACCAAGCCAACGAUCUGUAGCUGGUCUGAGAGGACGACCAGCCACACGGGGACUGCGGCACGGCCCAGACUCCUACGGGAGGCAGCAGUGGGGAAUUUUGGACAAUGGGCGCAAGCCUGAUCCAGCAAUGCCGCGUGCAGGAAGAAGGCCUUCGGGUUGUAAACUGCUUUUGUACGGAACGAAACGGUCUGGGUUAAUACCCUGGGCUAAUGACGGUACCGUAAGAAUAAGCACCGGCUAACUACGUGCCAGCCGCCGCCGUAAGAC
rnacentral:rRNA from 1 species